rnacentral:tRNA from 1 species
CGGGGAGUAGCGCAGCCCGGUAGCGCAUCUGGUUUGGGACCAGAGGGUCGCAGGUUCAAAUCCUGUCUCCCCGACCA